rnacentral:rRNA from 1 species
GAGUUUGAUCAUGGCUCAGAUUGAACGCUGGCGGCAGGCCUAACACAUGCAAGUCGAGCGGAUGACGGGAGCUUGCUCCUUGAUUCAGCGGCGGACGGGUGAGUAAUGCCUAGGAAUCUGCCUGGUAGUGGGGGGACAACGUUUCGAAAGGAACGCUAAUACCGCAUACGUCCUACGGGAGAAAGCAGGGGACCUUCGGGCCUUGCGCUAUCAGAUGAGCCUAGGUCGGAUUAGCUAGUUGGUGGGGUAAUGGCUCACCAAAGGCGACGAGUCCGUAACUGGUCUGACGAGGAUGAUCAGUCACACUGGAACUGAGACACGGUCCAGACU